rnacentral:rRNA from 1 species
GACGAACGCUGGCGGCGUGCCUAAUACAUGCAAGUCGAACGCACUCUCGUUUAGAUUGAAGGAGCUUGCUCCUGAUUGAUAAACAUUUGAGUGAGUGGCGGACGGGUGAGUAACACGUGGGUAACCUGCCCUAAAGUGGGGGAUAACAUUUGGAAACAGAUGCUAAUACCGCAUAAAACCUAAACACCGCAUGGUGUAGGGUUGAAAGAUGGUUUCGGCUAUCACUUUAGGAUGGACCCGCGGUGCAUUAGUUAGUUGGUGAGGUAAAGGCUCACCAAGACCGUGAUGCAUAGCCGACCUGAGAGGGUAAUCGGCCACACUGGGACUGAGACACGGCCCAGACUCCUACGGGAGGCAGCAGUAGGGAAUCUUCCACAAUGGACGAAAGUCUGAUGGAGCAACGCCGCGUGAGUGAAGAAGUUUUCGGAUCGUAAAACUCUAGUUGUUGGUAGAAGAAUGUAUCUGAUAGUAACUGAUCAGGUAGUGACGGUAUCC